GUCUGCGGCCAUGGUGCGUUGACACACCCGAUCCUUUGAUCUCAAAGUUAACCAACGUGCAGGCGGGUCAGUACUUGGAUGGGAGACCAACAAGAAAGACUGGUUGCUGUAGCCG
rnacentral:rRNA from 1 species